ensembl:snRNA U6 U6 spliceosomal RNA
GUGCUGACUUUGGUAGCAUGCAUACUAAAAUUAGAGUGAUAUAGAGAAUAUUGACAUGGCCCCUGCAAAAGGAUGCCAUGCGAAUCCUUAAAGCAUUCCAUAUUUUA